AGGAGGCUCAAACAGCCAAGUGGCCUGUUCUUAUUCCUUGUUCUUACGUUCAUAGACAUGUGUGAAGAUCCUGUUUUUCUUGUUUUUGCGCUUUUUAAAGUUGGGGGCUGAAGUGGGGAGAAGCUGUUUUUAAACCAGUGCUUUAGAGGAGUACUGUAUGUUUUGAAAAGCGAGUAACCCAACACUGAUGGCAUGCAUUGUGAGAGAAACUUGGGGUAUUUUGAUCUUCCCUCCUUGCCUGCCAAGAAAUGCUUAACCUUUGCAUCUCACUCUAAUAACUGAGAUGAUGUCAGAUCAUAAUCUUCAAGUCUUCGCAGAGUAGCAUCGAAAUUAUGAAGAUGCUCUGUAUCAUUCUCUCCAUGACUAAAAUAUUGACUCCUUCCAAUCCACUGAAAAUCUGAUUCAUGGUAUGUUGGAAUGACGCAGGUGAAGAUGUGACUCCAAAUGGAAGACUCUUGUAUUUGAAUAAUCAUCAUAUGAUACAACCAACGAGCAUUUCUAUGACUCAAGAUCUACAUUCAUCUGGAAAUAGGCUUGACUAAGGCAGUUUCACUGAAAAGCUGAUCUCCAAUGAGUCCAGCAAAUCGGUCAUUGGUUAAUGGAAAAAUAUAUUUGGAUCUAGGAGAAAGGUAUCCACAAAGGAAAGGAUUAUUUCAAAAAUAUAAUCUUCCUGUGACCAACUGAGAAGGAGGACCUCUGCUUGAUAACUCAACCCUCAAAUGAAUCACCAAAGAAUCAGCACAAGUUGAACACCUAUGCACUGAUACUCUGUACAAAGUAUGGAACUCUAAUGCAACCAUCAGGCUCUGUGGUUACAGCUACAAGCAUUUAUAUGUCUAGACUCUGUCUGAGUAACUAAAGUGGCUAAAUUUGGUUUGUGCUUUGUCACGACACUUUCUGCAAGAAAAUUGUCAGCAGCUAAACCUAUAAAAUUAUCCUGUUCAUUGCCUAAUUUUGAGGGAAAAUAACACCUUGCUGCAACAGUGUUGAUGUAUGGAUAGGAUCUUGCUUCACGAUUUUAAAGUGGUUGUUCUGUAAUGUUUGGAGAAUAAAA